rnacentral:rRNA from 1 species
UACGUAGGGGGCAAGCGUGUCCGGAUUUAUUGGGCGUAAAGCGCGCGUAGGCGGUUACUUAAGUCGGAUGUGAAAGCCCUCGGCUUAACUGAGGAAGUGCACCCGAAACUGAGUAGCUAGAGUACGAAAGAGGGUCGCGGAAUUCCCGGUGUAGAGGUGAAAUUCGUAGAUAUCGGGAGGAACACCGGUGGCGAAGGCGGCGACCUGGGUCGAGACUGACGCUGAGGCGCGAAAGCGUGGGGAGCAAACAGG